UAUUAUUCCUGUUGUUACCUGGUGCAUCAAACCACGAAGGUGAUUCCAUAGGUUUAUUAUUAAAGCUACAGGUAGAUACACAUAUUAACCAAAGGUAAUAAUAAUAAUAACAAGAAGAAGAAACAAAAAAAAUCAAGGUAACAAUGUUUACCAUUUAUUAUCAUCAUCAUUAUUAUUAUCCAAUGGUCUAGUAAAUAUAUAAUAAUAUUGGGUAAAAGUUCAAAGGUUGUAAUAUAUAUAAAUAUAUAUGGUGGUCAAGGUAAGUAAAAAAAAGUUUGAUCUAACACAUGGGAAAGUAAAUAAACAAUAAAUAAUAUGAUGAUGAUGAUGAUACAUGAUACAUGUUAUAAUCCAAUGGGAUAAAUAACAUAUUAUAUCAGCAGAAAAUAAAGUAAACAUAUAAUCAUUUAAUUCAAUUGAAUUUGCAAUUCCAAUUGAUUUGGUUAGGUAGAUGAAGAGAAAAAUAAUUAUAUCAAUUGGUGAGAUGUUAAUUAUCAACAGGAACAUGGAAAAAAACAACAAAAACAACUGAUGAAAAUUAUGAUAGCCAUAAAUAUGGAAUGAUAAUUAUUGAGACACACAAUUAAAAGUUAGAUAUUAUUAUGGUGCUGAUGAGUUUACGCUUAUCAGUAAUUUAUAAAUUGUUUGCAAUCAAGUUGUUAGUCUUUUACUGUUUAUUUUUCUCUUUUUAAAAAUCAUCAGGAUGGUAAAUGUCAAAUUCCAGGAACCAGUAGUAUCUAAUUCUGAUCACUAUUCUCUCUCUCUCUCUUCUUCUUCUUUGAAAAGAAGAGAGAGAAAAGUAAAUGGAAAAGGUAACAACAGGUAAAGGUGAGAGAUUUUUGACUUGAGAGACUUGAUUGAAAUGCUAUGAAGAGAAAGGCAUUACAACCAUAGUAUAUAUUUGGCCUUAAGCGCCGGAAACGUUAUCCAUGAUUAAACCAAUAGGUUGAAAUGAGAGGGAAAAAAGUUCGGCAACAUUGUAACUGACAGAAUAACAAAAGAAAGAAAAAAAAAAGGUAAACUUACCUGUUCUGUUUUCUAUCUCUCAAAGGGAAUCAUAGUUAUUAUAACGAAGUUUAAGUUUGUCUUAUUUUCCCUUCAUCAUCCUCAUCAUCUUUCAUUCUUAUGGUGGGAGGUGUGAUGCCGGUGGUUCGAUGAAAUUAAUGAAUGACAAAUAGAUAAAUUAUCUUACCUUUAUCAUCUUAAUCUUCAUCGAUCUUUAAUUUUCUUCCUCUUCUUCUUCCAAGAAAAACUUUUCUCUCUCUCUCUCUCUCUUUCUCUCUUCCUCCUUCCGAUGAUUCUAUCAUCUUCCUCCUACUCCCAUUAUCUUUCAUCUAAUAUUCACCUUUUCUACUUCUCUUCCUCAUUGUUUACUAUCAUCAUCUACUCAAAUCUUAAUCUUAAUCUCUUUCUAAUCCCUCUUGAUACACAUGAUAUUCAUAUUCACCUACAAAGGUAAAUACAAUAACCACAAAGUUAAUAAAAAACUUUUG